GGGAACUUGUGUUUUGUUCCUUUGCUCCUAUAAAGCCUCAGGGUCAGAGUGACGGAAGUACCUGCGACCUCGGUGACGGUGGAAAUGAUACACACACCAAUCCCGUAACACACCGCUAUUUGUGUACUGGUCGUUCCCCGGGACGGGGGGAGGUUUAUGAUACCUAAACAAGUAUUAUUUGUGUACUUGUCACGUCGUAAACUGAACAAAAGACGAGGCUGGCAGGGAGGGGUUGUAGGAUUAGGGUGAUUAGGGCGGAGGCGGUGACGUCCAAAGUACCGUUACUACCUCACGAUGGUUUAAUACAAGGUUCUUUUUACUAAAGCCGGAGUUGAACUGAUGUACGUACAACUUAACAACUGGGCUAAACUGCCUGAUAUAUUCACGAGAAGAGAAACCCUUAAACUUUCGUGUCGGGAAGAUUCGUAGCGUGUUAUAUAUCCGAAUAUAUACACCACCGAUAGUAACCAUGUUCGUACACACGUAAUCUGGUCUUUUCCCUUGUUUACAUGUUAAUGACCGGUCAAUAAUGACGGUCCAACAACGACAUCGUGCGGUCUGCGUACCUCUCCCUGCGGACCUGAUCCGAUUACUCCAACGGACCCGAUAGAGAAAAGUUAAAGAAUAAGGAUCAACGGUACGAUUAGUGUACCGUCCCUGCCGGUUCGGUCCGUCUGUAGAAAAAGAUACUCCUGUCCUUCGUUUGUCGACAGUGCAUCUUGAGUCCCUAGUAGGUUCGGUCCGCAUGUUACCGCACCUUCCGUACAUUUGUGCGGGAAUCAGAGCAAUCAUAUCAUAUCGUAUUGUAGGAAAGAUCGUAUCAUGAGGGAAACAAAGAUUUAAAUUCAGAAAAAUUUCAAAAGUGAUAUUCGAUACAUGUCUACAUAUAUCUACAUAAAAUCACAUAAAAAAUGCCCC
rnacentral:rRNA from 1 species